rnacentral:RNase_P_RNA from 1 species
AACAGUUUUUGGAUAACUGCGUGAUACCUUUGGUAUCAUGAGGAAAGUCCAUGCUCGCACGGGCUGCGAUGCCCGUAGUGUUUGUGCUUGGUGAAACAAUAAACCAAGGUAGGAGUGUCAUGCCUAACGGCUGAAGAAAGUGCUAAGUCUUUUGAUAUGCAUGAGUAUUCUGUAAAAGUGCCAAAGAGACGAGGCUUGCUGGAAACGGUAAGAUUGGAACGUGGUAAACCCCUCAAGCGAGCAACCCAAACUUAUGGUCGGGGCACUUGACUAGCCGAAUUGAAGGCGUGGUCGAGGGGGAAGACUAUCUUCCCCAGACAGAUGGUUAUCGACGGUCGCAAGACCUGAACAAAACAUGGCUUAUAGAAAACUGUAUGAC